CCAGGGGUUUGCCGUCUCUGUUAACCAGAAGAGAAAAAAAACCAACGAGUAUACGCUGACGAUGUAUUCGCGCAGUCGAGAGAGAAGAAAGGAAGAGCAGAGAGAGAACGGGAGCGUUGCCGGGAGGGUGUUCAACGGUGCCGCACCCUGGACGUCCAGGGACAUUCCUGUGCUUGCGGCGUGGAGCGUUCUGGGCCUCCUCGCCGGGCGUUGAGGACUGCGCGGGCGCCGUCGUCCGGUUGGGUCGCAGACCAGGGCAUGCUCGAAGUGGUGGGCGACUGGAGUCGCGUCUCGAGCCCAGGAAGUCGGCGGCGCGCUUCGGUAGAACUUGUGCGGCGUAACUCGGUAAGUUUCCCCUACGAAUCUUCGCUCCUCCUUAGCGUAGCCUCGAGUUGGGGGCGCGGCAAAUUGGAACGACGCGGGUUGCCACUUCGGCGUCGUGCGGUGUCGAGCUCGGGCUCACAUCUCAAUCCUUUCUAGAUUAGCGUGUCGCGCUUAGGGCUGCGGAGGGGCUGGCACAUUUGCCAGAAUCGCCGACGAUCCGAGCGUACGGGUCUGGGGUGCUCGCUCCGCUGUGGAACGACUGGAGGUUGACGACGACGCGUCCGUCGUUGGAUCCUGAAGGAGUGUGUGAGAUUUAUCCAAGGAAACGAUGAUCGUUGGUCGUUAGAUGUGAAUCGUAGGGCCACGAUCGCAUAGCAGGCGUACUGGUUCGACGUAAUCGGCUCAGGGCGUCGAUCUGCGGUUGAACGGCUCUGAUUUCUCCGCGUUAUCGAUCGUUGUGGACCACUGGUUAACAAUCCGAGGGCCCAGAAUACGUAUAGCCUCGUUGCCUUUGCAGUCUAAUCUUGGCACUUCGUUUGGGAUCGGACGGCUAGAUCUGUGCGGUAACGCUUCGCCGCAGAGAAAUUGCUAAAGAGACCUUGACAAACAUUUGAAUCAACCCGCCGUCCCUCGCGGUUGUACUUUGAGUCUUGCGGAUGUUUAUACCGGAGCCCCUGCACUCUUUAUAUAUUCUGCGCGCAGUCCAGACUGCAAAUAAAAUCAGAGAAAUUCAUUCUAAAUUCAUUUUUAAUACAAAAAUAAUGGUAGAAACUUGUAUAAAUCAUAGAAAAUGCAUACUGAAUCCUUUUUAGUUAAUUUCAGUUUCUAUAAUUUUAUAAUAUUAUUUUUAUCAUUUAAUACCACAGUUUUGACAUGAAAGUGACAUUAAAACUUAUAUCCCAUUUAAUCUUGUACAAAACACAUAGAAUCUUCAGAAAAUCAUAACUCCUCUGUUUUAACUCCGAUUUGAUUCAUUCAAAUUGCGUUAGUCUCGUAGCAACGCGUAGAUUAUUAUUAUUCAGUUUGUUCUUAUGUUGGGUGUGAUGUUAAUUUUAUCUAUACCAUGUUUGUUUGUAUUGCUACGACUAGCGCGAGGACACGUGUCAUCUAAAAAGCAAGC
rnacentral:lncRNA from 1 species